CUUCAGCAUUUCUUCUUUCAAUCUCUCCUUCACCAAAACUCCCUUCUCUGCGUUUACUCACUCUCCCCUAAACCCUCACUCCGUUCGUUUAUUUUGAUGAUCCCCUUUUGCUCAGAUCCACUCCCAUCAAGCUUAUGAGUUCAGCCCCUCCUUCCUCUGCAUCUCCAGGUCGUACUCAGUUCGGCCCUUCCCUUAUUCAUUGUGUUUCUCAACAUGAAAUCAAUCUGCGUUUUGUUUCUCUCAACACUUUCUCCCUUUUCUGUCUCAAAUCAAUCCAUCUGUCUUCUAACUCAGCACCUUCUUCUACAUCAUCAUCUCUGCCCCGUUUCAGUUUGGUCUCGCCAUUCAACCUGUCUCGGCGCCUGCGAGUUCGCUGUUUUCGACAACCAUGCUUACGGCGACAGCAUCCCCGAUUUUGUUACAGAGUGGCUGCGCCUCAACCCAGGGAAGCGUCUUCUGUGAUUAAAUCUUCUAUUUCUCCGUUUAUUUCCAGCUUCAAGAUCAAAACAAAACUUGAAAUGGGAUUUCAUUCUUUUGAUAAUUGAGUUCAUCCCUAAUUUUCUAACAGCUUCAAGGCUGCAAAAUGCAAUCCUGUCGUCGCUAUCAUGGUCCUUCAAACCCUAAUUUCUCCGUUAUAACGCUCAGCUCAGAACCAGAUGCAAAAGUGAUUGGGCUCAGUUUCAAUCUCGCCUAACCAAUGCUAAUAAGGUGUAUCUUGAAGGACUGAAACGAAUUGGGAAGGGUUGACGUGUGCUGAUAAUAAUUUAAACAGGCUGAAGAAUUACCUGCAGCUAUGGCAGCAAGUAAGUGACAACUUGCUCAAACUAAUGAUGAUGUGCUGAGCAUUGGAUUGCUAUUUUUAUUAAUUGAUUACUAUUAGUUUGAAGGUUUUUUUUUCUUUGUUUUGUUUCAAUGUAUUCUCUGUGUAGCCUAUUAAUAUAUGCAAGAAAUGAUGACAAAAUUUUCAAAAUCAGUAUGGUUUAGUUAUAUCUUAUGAAUUUCACUUCAUGAUGGUUUUAUGCAGUUGAUGGAGCGAAUAAUUCAUGAUGUUGAUUAGCACUGAUUUUUUGUUCUUCCCUUUCGAUUUUUCCCUCAAAUUGAAUUCGCAAGGGCUGUUGGAAUUUCAGGCGCAUGCUUUCAAAGCUGCCAACAUACAUGGCAUUCAUUUAAUUAUUGUUGUUGAUAUUCUUAGUUGAAGCUGAUAAUUGUCAAACUUGACGGCAAAUUGCCAAUUGAGCUUUUUCUAUUUUUCCUAUAUAUGUCUUUGUAUUAGUUUUAUCCAUAAUCUUUUCAUUCCAACAAAGUGUCUUUUUUCUCCUCUAGGUUGUAUUCUUUCCUUGAGUAUAGUAUUAAGUUUCUUUGAACUGUGAGUAUAACAUGGUUACCAAUCAUAUUUUCAUAAGCUAUAUGUGACUUACCAAUCAUAUGUGACUAAACUAUGUUAUUUUUUUAUUUCUCCUUUGUGUAUGAUGACUUUGGCUAUGAUCCUCUUCUUCUGUUUGAUUUCUCUGCUGCAACUUGCAAGCACGAGAAAAAGAGAGGGGUGAUCGAUAGAGUUCAUCACCAUUCGAAAACAAGCAAUUACAUCUGGAGUCGCUGUCAAGGAAGGGGCUAUUUGUGGGCAAAUGUUAGAAGGCAUAGAUAUUACUCAGUUCUGCGUUGUUAGUUUUAAAUUUUCAUUUCAAAGUAAAAUUUAGGAAAUAUAUAGUGGUAUUGAAAUCAGACACGUUCUUGAUAAUAGGAAAAUGAAGUUGCUUUCUUCUCUUAUUUUUUUUAGGCAUUAUGUUUCUAAGUCUCAGUAUUUUAUCUACAGGAUGCUUUCAAUGUACAAUAUACAUGGAUGUGUUUGGAGAUAUUGAUGGAAACUUUCGUACCAAGCUAUCCACAAUAGUUUUCUAGAAUAUGCCAAAAGUCUUAUGUGGGGAACACACGAGUUGAAUAUGAAGUUCCUAGGAAAGAGUUUACUGCUAGAUAUUGUUUCAUGUUAGCUGCCUAUUAGCCUAAAUACUUGCUGUUAUCUCUUAAGUUUUCUUGCUCUGAUGACAUAAGGACGCGUCUCUAAUUUCUGAAAUUGUGUUCCACCUUAUGAUCCUCAUUUCUGAUUCAUGCUUAUUUUGAAUUUAUAUAGAAGGUUAUAGCUGGAUAAGAUCCUCA